UUUGGCUGUGAUAAUUUUCCAACAGUUUUAAAAUAAAAUGAAUAACUUCAUGGGAUCUGUACAUUAUAUACACCAAGUUUUAACUCACAUUUUUUUGUGUGUGUGCCAAGAAGCCACUGAAGUAGGUUGAGGGGAAAAUAAACAUUGAAAAACCUAUGUAGUUAAUGAAGAAAGCACCAAGAGGUUAUUCUUAAUGUUUGCUUAGCCUCUUGUACUCUGACUUAGUAUUGUGAGUACUAAACCUUAGCCAUAGUAUUAAACCUCCUACUAUUUUUUUUUCAUAGUUCCAGAAAAAACUAUUAUUUGCGUUCCUAUUUAAUAGUUCCUAAGAAUCUGGGCGUUGCCAGAUCAUCUUUGAGACAAUUCUGAUUGGCCCCACUAAGAGCAAGCCGCUGUGUAAAAAUAGCAACUGCUGGGAGAUAUUCCCAAGACAAAGUCAAAGCUGCCAAUCAACUCCAGCCCUGGGCAUCCACUCCACUUCCACAAGGACGCUAUGCUGGUGAAGUUCUCUGUGGAAUGGAAGACUGAACUAGCUAUUGGACUGGGAUUUACAUUAUUGGCUGCCUUCAUUUUUGGAUCUUUGACGCAGACUAAAUUAUACCACUGGCUUUCCUGGAUCUCCAGUUUGCAGACAGCAGAUUGUGGGACUUUUCAGCCUCCAUAAUCAUGACCAGUCUGUAUUGGACACCAGUGACAUGAGGCCAUUCACCAACCUUGAGGAGAGUUCCAGCCCUCAGCAGACACCCAGGAGACUCUGUUCUCAAUACUCUGUACUAACAACUUGACACAAUGCCAAUACAACCUCAUGAUUAAGAGAAACCAGGCAUGACUCAAUAAACUUUGAUUGUUUGGGACAUCUGCCUCAGUCACUCAUUUUGGUUGUCAGCAUGGACUCUAGAUCAGACCAAGUUGACCUCCCUUCUUCACCAUUAACUGCUUUGAGAUAAGAAGCUACAGCAUCUGUCAAGAGCCGUAUGUAGCUUGAGAUGACUACCUGAAGAUGUAUCAUGGUAUCAGCUGGUUAGUUAAGAAGUCGUUUUCCAGCUUCAACUGGCAAGUAACAAGCCAAGCAAGAAUUUCAAUGGAAAAUUACAGAGAUACUAACAGGUUUGAGUACUUAUGAAUACAAAAUAAAUAAACGGAUUUAAAUUACUUUAUUAUUACAAUGCAGAAAUGAGGAAGUGUAAUAGCCAGCUAGUCUUGGAACAUGGCACUGUGAAUGAAAUGAUUAAUUGCAUAUUCAUCUGGUCUCAGAUACAGGACAUUCUCUUGCAUAGGUUAAAUGUAUUAAUGGUAGAGAAUUAUGCAAAAAAUACUCAUUUUCUCCAAUACCAGAACAUACAGGAAGCAAGUAAAGUGAGUGCCUUUUUACCAAUAGUACCAGUAGAUAAGAAGAUAAGAUACAGAUAAUAAAGCACAGAGCAUUGCACAGAUCUACACCAAUGGAUUGGAAUGGAAUGUAGGAUUCUCUUCUUGCUGUGGACACCAUCAAAAUGUGAGAUCACUUCUCUGCUCAAUAGGACAAUCAUACUGAUUCCUUAGGAAGACAUAUAGGAAUCAGUAGAGGGAGAUCCUACCCUGGAAUCGUUUGAUGUCCUUGGGUUAUCUUCCUCUACAAAAAGGGCUAGUUGAAAUAAUGACAUGUGGGAGAUCAGCACUCCAAGUCAAAAUUGCAAAACAGAAGAAAAUUCCAGAAUUAUAUCACUGUUAAGAUAGCAACAAAUAAAUAAUUUGCACCCUACAACCCAUGUGUGAAUUUAAUUCUGGAAAACCCAAUCUGAGACAGGGACAUCCAUCACCAUGUGAAAAAGCCUGGGAUAGUCUGCUGGAAGAAAAUGUAACUUGCAGAGAAUAGAACAGAUAAACCUUGCAGUGUACCCAGUUGGAUUUCAGAACAUUGAAGAGCAGCAGCUUUUAUGGGAAUAAGAGUGUCCCUUACAGGUAAUCUCCUCGACAUUUAUAUUGGGUGAGUCACAGUCAGAAAAUAUCUUAGUUUGUAACUUUGAGGAUGAAGAGUAGGUGUAUUCAAGGAGCUACCUUCUUGAACACAAUUGAAGGUCAUGAAAUUCUGAACUUCAAGGUUGAUACCAUGAUUUCAUGAGACUUUUGAAAGUCCUAGGAUGGCAAUGAGAAUAUCUUUUAUGUGGAAAAAUUGUGGGUAAUUUGUGGCCAGAGGUUGGACUGUGGUAGAUUCGAAAAGUGGUUGCAAAAGUUUUCCAUUCUUGUUUCAUGUCCUUCAGUCAUGACUUCUCCUAGUGACUUUAAGAUUAUCGAUGUGAUUUGCUUUGCCUAUGAGGCAAUAAGCAAAUGUGACACAAGCAGAGGCUUAAAAAUGCGUAUGCUUUAGGAGAGGUUAGCUGUUGCUCUUGGGAAACACAGAACCAUAUAAAGCUGCUAACCUUCUGGCAGAUGAGAAUCAUCACGGAGCAGAGAUGAGGCUAAACAGCUGAGGCUUCUCUAAAAAACAAAACAAACAAACAAACAAACAAAAGCAGUGCACUUCUCAGGUGAUUGGCAUCGGAUAGCAGAAGCAUCGGUGAGUCAGCUGAGGUACAUAGAAGAAAUGCCUACCUGAGCCAACCCAAAUUGCCAACCCACAAAAAUCUGAAACCAAAUAAAUUGUUUAAAACUACUAGGUUUGAGAGUAUUUUGUUACAAAGCAGGUUAACCAAGGCAAUUAAAUGUAAAAGGUAUACUAAAUGAAUAAUUUUAUAAACAUUAAGCCAUAAUGACAUCAAAUUGAUUUUGAAGUUCAUUAAUGCAUACAGUCCUCAAACUGCUUUAUUCAUUGUAUACUGUAAUGUUUCACAUUUAAUUUCUGUAUCUAUUCCACUAAAGUUUAGUUUUUACUUGAGAAGACAAAAAUAUUAUUAUAGGAAAUUUUAUAUCAUACUCAUAAUUUGAUUUGUGAAAAUAAAUAAAAUUCAAAUAAUGUUGAUUUCUGUUAAUGAUGCUGAUUGCUUAUUAGAUCCUACACAUAUAAGUGAAUCAUUUGCCCAUAAAUAUUAUAGAUUAUUAUCAUAACAAGUAUUGAAUAACCUAUACUUCUCAUUUUGAAGAAGUGUAUUCUAUCUUUAAUCAGUUGUGCCUAAAUUUAAAUGUGUAUACAUUUAAGAAUUUUAUCAAAAAAUGUCUUUAAAAAAUCAAAAACAUCAUCAAACUGCCAAAAAUAGAAAAGCUGGGGUAGAGAAGUGAAACUAUUGCUCAGUGAUACAGUCCCUUUUUGUGCCAGCAACAGCUGGGCAAUCAACUUUCAUUUAUAACUAUCUACCGUAAGCAGCUUGCCCGUGGCCAAGUCAAUCAUUAUAGAAUCUAAUGGUACAUCAAUUUUCUUCCAAGAUUUAAUUUGGCACACAGGGUUUUGAAAAAGAAGACUAUCAUAAAAUAUUGCUACAACUCCAGAAUCUAAUAUCUUACUUGUGUUUUGACCCCAUUAGAUAAAAUAAAUUGAAAUCCUUUCAUUAAUGUGUUAACAGAGUCAUUUUAAAAUUGAAUUUUCAUAGUGAUCUCCUUGAAAUUGCUUAUAAAGAACUAAGUUAUGUUGCUAAGGUUCUUAUGCAAAUUUUAAACAGAUAAUAUACCUUUUUGUCUCACAACCAUAACACAUCAAUGCAAGGUUCUGUGUUAACCAAUUUCUUACCAACAAAAUAAUUUUUAAUUUGAUUGUUCUUGGUUUGAAGAUUUGCUACUUCUCUUGUUUAAUUUGUGCAGAAUAAAUUUUAUUAGAGUCUUUUACAGAUAUCUUAUGACAGUAGGGAGUACAUGUGAUCAUAUUUUAUAAAUAUUUUCAAGUUGGUAUCAUGCCUAAAUAUCCUAAGUAGUGAUUUGUGAAUAAUGGCAAAUUAAAAUGAAUUAAUGAGAAGUUUGUUAAAAAUGCAGAUGCUCAAAAGAUUAUAUUGCUAGCAGUGUACGGCUAAGUAGAAGUUAAGUGUUCCAGGAUUUGUGAACCAUCAUUUUAAGGACUGAACUGAUGAUGAAAUCACUUAAGUGAAUAUAUUAGCUACUAUACAAAAGAAAAAAUAAAAAAAGUACUUUUUAGAUAACAGAUAACAGCAAAAUGAAGCAUAUUGCAAUAAUACUUUAUCUAUAAUUCUGGAAACAUAAUUUUUAGUUCUUAGGAAUCAUAGGAAUUAGGAUAUAAUAAACAUAAAAAUGAGCUCAAAGAUACAAGUCCAAAAUACAAAUUUUUGUUCUUUUCCUCCUUCCCUAUAUGAAUCAGAAUUUGAGGAGGUGUCAUAGAAAUCUGGAUUUUUAGCAAGCCCAGAAGUUAAUUGUAUAAAUGGUUCUCAAAGCAGUACCAUUUUGCUGAUGUACUUACCAUUGCUUACUAAUCCCCACUCUUUGACAGGCAUUGCAUUCAAGUGCCUUUCAAUUUUGUUUAUUUAACUGCUUAAAACUAUUAUGUUGUAGAUAUUCUUGCGCCUAUGUUACAAGGGUAAGAAAAUGAUUAAAUAAUCAUCUAAAGUCAAAAAAAUAAUAAAAAUAAAGCCAGGAAGCAACUCAGAUC
rnacentral:lncRNA from 1 species